rnacentral:rRNA from 1 species
GUGUCAGCAGCCGCGGUAAAACCAGCACCUCAAGUGGUCAGGAGGAUUAUUGGGCCUAAAGCAUCCGUAGCCUGCUCUGUAAGUUUCCGGUUAAAUCCAUUAGCUUAACUUAUGGGCCGCCGGAAAAACUGCAGAGCUAGGGAGUGGGAGAGGUAGACGGUACUCGGUAGGAAGGGGUAAAAUCCUUUGAUCUAUUGAUGACCACCUGUGGCGAAGGCGGUCUACCAGAACACGUUCGACGGUGAGGGAUGAAAGCUGGGGGAGCAAACCGGAUUAGAUACCCGGGUAGUCCCAGCUGUAAACGAUGCAGACUCGGUGAUGCCCUGGCUUGUGGCCAGUGCAGUGCCGCAGGGAAGCCGUUAAGUUUGCCGCCUGGGAAGUACGUACGCAAGUAUGAAACUUAAAGGAAUUGGCGGGGGAGCACCACAAGGGGUGAAGCCUGCGGUUCAAUUGGAGUCAACGCCAGAAAUCUUACCCGAGGAGACAGCAGAAUGAAGGUCAAGCUGGAGACUUUACCAGACAAGCUGAGAAGUGGUGCAUGGCCGUCGCCAGCUCGUGCCGUGAGAUGUCCUGUUAAGUCAGGUAACGAGCGAGAUCCCUGCCUCUAGUUGCCACCAUUACUCUCAGGAGUAGUGGGGCGAAUUAGCGGGACCGCCACAGUUAAUGUGGAGGAAGGAAGGGGCCACGGCAGGUCAGUAUGCCCUGAAACCUUGGGGCCACACGCGGGCUGCAAUGAUAGUGACAAUGAGUUCCUAAACCGAAAGGUGGAGGCAAUCUUCAAACGCUAUCACAGUUAUGAUUGAGGGCUGCAACUCGCCCUCAUGAAUAUGGAAUCCCUAGUAACUGCGUGUCAUUACCGCGCGGUGAAUACGUCCCUGCUCCUUGCACACACCGCCCGUC